rnacentral:tRNA from 1 species
AGGUGUGUGGUUCAAUGGUAGAGCACUUGCGUAGCAUGCAUGAGGCUCUAGGUUCAAUCCCCAGCACAGCAA